UUAUUUCUUGUUUUUGAUUCAGACGUCAAGACUGAUCUAGGCAUAAAGUUGGCGCCCGAAGGCGCCAAAGCACAUCUUGCUUCCACAGGUUUACAAGGUUGAAGGCCUUUAAGGCCAUUCGUUAAUGAUCCCUCCGCAGGUUCACCUACGGAGA
rnacentral:misc_RNA from 1 species